CCUGCCUCAGCCUCCCACCUACUUGGGAGGCUGAGGCAGGAGAAUCCCUUGAACCUGGAAAGCGAAGUUUGCAGUGAGCCGAGAUUGUGACACUGCACUCCAGCCUGGGCAACGCACCGCGACUCUGUCUCAAAAAAAAAAAAAGAGUUUAUCUUACAACACACAGGAGAAAUGAGUUAGUUCUUUAGAUCAGAGGUCCCCAACCCCAGGACUGCGGACUGCCACUGGUCUUUGGCCUGUCAGGCACCCGGCCACACAGCUGGAGUGUGAAAAAAAAGGAAAAAACUGAAAAUCUCAAGAGGAUUCCAGGAAAUCAAAACAAUGAAUUAUUGAAUCAAGAAUUUGAAAGAGAAAAUAGAUGCAUACUGAAAAAAGAAUUUUGUUUAGUGAGAUAGAUGUAAUAAUGAAGGCAUGUUGAUAACGGGGGAGCUAUGUAUAUAUGAGGGGAGGGAUAUAUUGGAAAUCUCUGUAUCUUCCUCUCAAUCUUGCUGUGAUCCUAAAACUGCUCUAAAAAAUAUUUUGAGAAGGAAUAAUGAUGUGGUAAACAUGUUCUGUUAUUUAAAAAGAGAGACUUUUCAUAGCCGCCUCCCUCCCCCUCUACACACACACAGAGUCCUGUCCGUCUUCAUUCCCUUACUCAAUAAUUUGUACAGACACAGCCACUGGGCUCCAGUAAUCCUAAAGUUUCUAGAAAAUCAAGCACAGAAAAAGGUUAAAACCCUGAGGGAAUAAAAGAAUUCCUUUGCAUCCAUUGCAUUUCUCAGGAAGUGAACUAACAAAUUCACUGCUUUUAAAUGAGGAAAUUUUCUCAGUGAAAUUGAUUCCAAACCUUCGUUAGGUCAACUGUUCCCAGAUUUCUUAGCUGAUGCCUGAUCUGACUAUUCCUUAUCUUUAGUACAGAAACCAAGGUGAAUGACCUUUAAAAAACAUAUUAGACUGUUGACGUGUCUUCUAUGUUGUACUCUAGGUAAAAACGAUAAACCAGGAAAAAGAAAGUAAAAUUCAACCUUAGGCUCAUGGAUCCAGAGUGGAUAAUUAUGAGUCUGUAGUAUCUACAUGCAUGUGAUGAGGUUCAAGGACAAUAACCAUAAAGCAAAGACUUAAAAGGUUUUAUCAUUAGAAUAAUUGUAAUUCACUUGAUCUCUCAAUGUAACAAUACUUCGGUCUACUGUCUCAAGCCAUUAUUAUGUCUUACACUCAGCAUAUUGGUUUGUCUACCAUUAAAUAUUUAUUUUCUACAGUGCUUUCUGGAAGGCAAACAAAGCAGCCACUCUGCUACUUUAUAUUGAUUCCUGAGUUGUCCUUCGGAAACGCUUUCAGGAAGUUUAAUAGGUUUGAAAGAUAUUUAGACCUGUGACUGGCAAAUAUACUUCCUUCUUUUUAUUUCAAUAAGAGAGUACUAGAACUUAGAUCUUUAUUGUUUAAUCUAGUCAGUGCUGUCAUUGUCAAUCAAGUUCUCAAAUGACACUUGUCCUGAGCUGUAACUGAUCUAUUCAGAAGAAUAUGAAAAUAGUAAAGACGGCAACUAUGCAUGUUUUUACCGGACACGAUUUUAAUUGCUUUAAAAUGAAGUUAUGCAACCAAUGAGGAAUGGAGCUUUUGGAGUGGCCUGAAGCUAAAGGUUUCAGGUGUAUUUUUGCUUUCUUUGAAGAAAGAACCAAAUCAUUUUAUUUAAUAAAAAGGCCAUUUAUCAAGAAUUUCUUAAAGCUGUUUUAAACCUGAGUUUGCAAUUUAUAGAAUAUGUUCAAGCAGCCUCAGUGCCCUUUUAAUUGGAUGGUUUUCACAGAUUUAUCCAAUUUGAGAUUUAUCCAGUGAGAAUUCCCUUUGUUCAAGUAUAUAUGUCUUCUCUUCCAUAAAGCAGAUUCAAAUGAAAGAGUGCAAUCUGAUAUAUCAGACAUGUCAGUUAUACAUUUGAUGUGGUAAAUUUAUAAGAGAGGCCAAUUAUUGUUAUGAAAAAAUACAAUGAAAUACAUGAUAGUCAUUUACUGUUUUUAUAACUAAUCUAAAAGUAUUUACUAAAAAGAAACUAUUUCUUUUCAUAUGUACUUUACUUUUUACUUUAACCCUUCAUAUGUCCUUUAAAUAAAGAGAAGAAAAAAAGUCAUUUAUAUUUAUCCACAUAUUUUCUAUUUCAGGUGGUCCUCAUUCAUUCUUGUAGAUCCAAGUUACCAUCUGUUAUUAUUUUCUUUGUCACCUGAAGAAUUUUCAGAACUAUUUCUUCCUAUAUGUAGCAUGUAUAGAUACUCUAAAAAGUCCAUUAUAUGAUGUAUAAAACAAAGCAUACAAUGUAGUCUCUGCCCUAAUUAUUUGUAAUUUAUAUAAAACCUUUUAUUUUUUAUUUUUAAUUGUUUAUUUUAUUUUGUUUUGUUUUAUGUUUUUGAGAUAGAGUCUUGCUCUUUUG
rnacentral:lncRNA from 1 species